rnacentral:rRNA from 1 species
GACGAACGCUGGCGGCGCGCUUAACACAUGCAAGUCGAGCGAGAACCCUCCUUCGGGAGGGGGAAAGCGGCGAACGGGUGAGUAACACGUGGGUAAUCAACCCUCGGUACCGGGAUAGCCCGAGGAAACUCGGAUUAAUACCGGAUGGCCCAACAGCUUUUCGGGGCGGUUGGGAAAGGUAGCUUCGGCCUCCGACCGAGGACGAGCCCGCGGCGGAUUAGCUUGUUGGUGGGGUAACGGCCCACCAAGGCGACGAUCCGUAGCUGGCUGAGAGGACGAUCAGCCACACUGGGACUGAGACACGGCCCAGACUCCUACGGGAGGCAGCAGUGGGGAAUCUUGCACAAUGGGCGAAAGCCUGAUGCAGCGACGCCGCGUGAGGGAAGAAGGCUUUCGGGUUGUAAACCUCUUCUAGGAGGGACGAAGCUACUCGGGUUAAUAGCCCAGAGGGU